AGCGAACGCUGGCGGCACGCCUAACACAUGCAACUCGAACGGACCUCUCGGGGUUAGUGGCGGACGGGUGAGUAACAUGUGGGAACGUGCUUUCAGGCUCGGAAAAGCUCCUGGAAACGGGCGGUAAUGCCAUAUGCGCUCCUAGGGGGAAAGAUUUAUCGGCUUUAAAGCGGCCCGCGUCUGAUUAGCUAGUUGGUGAGGUAAUGGCUCACCAAGGCUACGAUCAGUAGCUGGUCUGAGAGGAUGACCAGCUACAUUGGGACUGAGACACGGCCCAAACUCCUACGGGAGGCAGCAGUGGGGAAUCUUAGACAAUGGGGGAAACCCUGAUCUAGCCAUGCCGCGUGAUCGAUGAAGGCCUUAGGGUUGUAAAGAUCUUUCAGUGGGGAAGAUAAUGACGGUACCCACAGAAGAAGCCCCGGCUAACUCCGUGCCAGCCGCCGCGGUAA
rnacentral:rRNA from 1 species